AUGAUUUUAAUAGUCGAACAGACUAAAAAUUUAAAUCUCUCCAUUUAAAUUUUAUCAUAAUUCAACAUCGAGGUCGCAAACAAUUUUAUCAAUAUGAACUCUCCAAAAUUAUUACG
rnacentral:rRNA from 1 species